rnacentral:rRNA from 2 species
CGGGCGUUAAGUUGCAGGGUAUAGACCCGAAACCCGGUGAUCUAGCCAUGGGCAGGUUGAAGGUUGGGUAACACUAACUGGAGGACCGAACCGACUAAUGUUGAAAAAUUAGCGGAUGACCUGUGGCUGGGGGUGAAAGGCCAAUCAAACCGGGAGAUAGCUGGUUCUCCCCGAAAGCUAUUUAGGUAGCGCCUCGUGAAUUCAUCUCCGGGGGUAGAGCACUGUUUCGGCUAGGGGGCCAUCCCGGCUUACCAACCCGAUGCAAACUGCGAAUACCGGAGAAUGUUAUCACGGGAGACACACGGCGGGUGCUAACGUCCGUCGUGAAGAGGGAAACAACCCAGACCGCCAGCUAAGGUCCCAAAGUCAUGGUUAAGUGGGAAACGAUGUGGGAAGGCCCAGACAGCCAGGAUGUUGGCUUAGAAGCAGCCAUCAUUUAAAGAAAGCGUAAUAGCUCACUGGUCGAGUCGGCCUGCGCGGAAGAUGUAACGGGGCUAAACCAUGCACCGAAGCUGCGGCAGCGACACUGUGUGUUGUUGGGUAG